ensembl:lncRNA
GUGGGUUUGGCUGUGUCGGGUUUGGAUUGAGAGGGUUUGGCCUGUGUUAGUUUGGAUUGAGUGAGUCUGGCCUGUGUCAGGUUGGAUUGAGUGAGUCUGGCCUGUGUCGGUUUGGACUGAGAGAGUUUGGAUUGAGUAAAUUUGAGCAGAUUUGGUUUGAGCUAGAUUAGGCACCUUUAGCUUGGUUGUUGUGGAUCUGAUGGAUAGCUUCCCUGUCAAUCAUCUCUGUUCUCCUGUCACAAUCACAAUCAGACCUGCCUACUGAUCCAAAGCUUCAUCUACACCCAGCUCACACUCAUACAUGCAGUUUCUCUCAACCUACUCACAGACAUAGAAUAUAUUUCAGUGUGCAUGCACACAAACAUAGAAACAGAACAGCAUGCACAACAGUGAGAGUUCUGUUUGACUUUUUGCCAGGAGAUUUUGCCAGGAGGAUGAAACAAAAAUCUUUUUUACAGGUUCACAGCCUUCUCCAGCUCAACCAGCAGUAAUGUGUGUGUGUGUGUGUGUGUGUGUGUGUGUGUGUGUGUGAGUGAGAGAGAGAGAGAG